UCUCCGUUGGUGAACCAGCGGAGGGAUCAUUAAAGAGUUGUAAAAAACUCCUUAAAACCCUAUUGCAGAACUUUACUGUUCGUUCUUGCUUAACGGCAGGCGGCCUCCAGGGAGGAGGUCUGAAGCUCAGGCGUGUUCCCGAGUGCCUGCCGGACGGCAUAUAAUAAAACUCUUUAUUAUCUUGUAAUCUGAGGUAAAAUAUAAAUAAGUCAAAACUUUCAACAACGGAUCUCUUGGUUCUGGCAUCGAUGAAGAACGCAGCGAAAUGCGAUAAGUAAUGUGAAUUGCAGAAUUCAGUGAAUCAUCGAAUCUUUGAACGCAUAUUGCGCCCACUAGUAUUCUGGUGGGCAUGCCUGUUCGAGCGUCAUUUCGACCUUCAGAACCUAUUCUUCUAGAAUAGGCUCUGGUGUUGGGGCUUUUCUACAGUGGGCUUUCUCCCUUGUAGGCCCUUAAAGUUAGUGGCGGGCUUGCUCAGUGCUCCGAGCGUAGUAGAUUUUUGUUUAUUCUCGCUUUGGAAGCCUAGUAGGUUGCUAGCCGUUAAACCUCCUAUUUUUUAAGGUUGACCUCGGAUCAGGUAGGAAUACCCGCUGAACUUAA
rnacentral:rRNA from 1 species